UCGCUACGAAUCGGCCAUUAAUCAUCGGACCUGCUGAGCCCUGCUUCCCACGUCUCUUGCCUCGCCGCCAACUCGCGCUCACCAGAUCCAGUGCGCCGCCGUUGUCUAAUCCGAACUCCACCAUCCAACGACGACAGUUCCACCUCACCAGCCAGCUCCAUCCGACCCGCACCUCCAACCCAAUCCCCCUCACAUCGGUGGACCACACCACCCAGCUUCGUCCUUCGCUCCUCCCCGCCGAGCAACACGGCUACGCCCCAGUCCACUCCACCGAUGCUGCCCCGUACGAUUCUGUGGUGUUUUCUUAGUCGCUAGGCUCCCCCAUCUAUUCAAUCAGAUGCAUCCCCAUCGAUUGAUUCGGCCGGCUGGAGUACAUUAUUACUGGAUUGCAUAAUUGUGCCCCUAUUUGAAGGAAGGCAUCUCCAAAGCAAAAGGUAUGCACACUUCGUGGACUGCCGCACAUUUGGAGAUUUGCAAUUUUUGCAAUGGAUUGUGUGUGUGUGUCUUUUCCCUAAAAAAAGAAUUGUUGUUGUGUAAUUCAUCUAUUUUUAUUUCAUGUUUCUGUAAAAUUUUAGUUGAUGGAAGCUCAUAAAACCUCCAAUUAGGGUAGAUGAGAUCCACUUGUAGAUAAUAAAUUUCUGCACCCGGUUGUUAGGGGCAAGCAGGCUAUUUUGCAAUCUCAAAUUUAUGUGUUUCCAAUGUAUCUUCCUUAUGCACCGAUUUCAAAGAAUUAGUGCUUCCUAUGUACAGAAGGAAUUUUUCCAUACUGCUUAUUAUAUAUGUACUGAUGAAUCCUAGCAUCUACCAUGCUUUGUAUGUAUGGACUGCAUUUCAAUCUUGCUAUACUUCUUAGGUGUAAAAAAUAUUUAUUGAUAGAAUUAACAAAAAUGCACCAUAGGUGAUUCAUACGUACAUAAGCUUAUUUCAUGCUAUGGAACUUCAGGCUCUUGCCAUGUUUCUAGUUGUAUAGAUGUGAAGUUCAUUGCCUUAGAGCAUCCUUGCUUUUUACAGGUACAUAACUACAUAUAGAACAACAAUCUUGCUUCAUGAUUGGUAUAUAUGUUCUAUAUAUCUUUAAUACAACAGUAUGUCGUGCUUGCAUAUUUAUAUUUCAUUCUAUAUAUCCCCUCGCUCUCUCGUCUUUAUGAAUGUCUAUGCUUUCAUGCAUGACAAAAUUAAGAGGAUGGAAUUGACGGGCCAUUUGCUAGCGUAUGCAACUGUAUGUCAAUGCUUCCAUCUUACAGUAAUUGUUGUUGCUUCAAAAUGCUAAAUUCUAUGUUUUGGCCAUACAUGUGUUCUUCCACACUUUUUCACCAUACAUACCUUACUUACGUGUUUCCACUCAUAUUUUUCAUUGCUUCAAAGAAUUAUGUUUUGCUUUAAGCAAUUCGUUUUCGUUUUGGACAGCAUUGGAAGAACUAUCUGAAGCACCGUUGCGCUGACAGGUUACUUUUUGAAGCCAGCGGAAACAAAGCGAUGUGUUGCUGCUAUCCAUCACUAUGCCAAGAUAAUGCUUAUAGAAGCAUGUAGGAGGCACCAAAGGACAACUUGAUAGGCCGCGUUGUCACAUCACAUACAGAAGCAAGUAGGGUGCUUCGAUUUAAAUUGAUUGUCUGAAAUCAGAAUUAUUUGUCCAAUGAAUUAUGAAAGCAUAAUCUUUUGUCUAUGGAAACAAACUGGGCAUAUUUGUAUUUAUUGGAAGGAAACACAUUUCUAAUGUGUUUAAAGCAUGUGUACUCGUGACAAUGUGUCCUUUUCCG
rnacentral:lncRNA from 1 species